GGAGGUAAAAAUUAUAUACCCUGCAUCAGAAGUGCAAUGUUUUAAAAAGAGAAUUUGAGGGUGGUGUGCACCACAAGGAUAAUGGCAACCUGUUGUAAAGCAUCGCAACAUGCCACACAGAGGACGCUCCUGAAGAUGGUGCUUGAAUCACCAUUCACAUGAGAGGAUGACAUACAAAUGCCAAAGGAUCGUAUGACUAGGCAGCACAAAGAAGAGAAAAAAGAACACAUUUUGGGUUUACGCUCCCAUUUUCCAUUUUGGAUGAAAAUGGUCUCAACACACAACCUAGUGUGGUGUUUUGUGGAACGAAGGAUGUCAGCAAACUCUUCACGGUCAAUGAAUCCAUCUCCGUUCCUGUUUUUUCAUACCACAAAGAACAGCAAUGAAACCCCACAGAAAGAACACAUCCUUAGUAUAACCUAGUCACUGGAAACCGCUCCAUUUUAUAAAACUAAUCAGAGAUGGAAGGAAUUAAAGAGUUUCACAUUUUUGAA